AGAAAGGCUAAAGAAAAACAGUGGGAACCGGACACAGAGCAACUGUGUCAGUGAUAAAACCUUUUUUUCUUCUUUUUUUUUUUUUACCGUAUGCUUCUCAAACGCUCACGGUAGAUGUUUAUGCUUCCGAGUAAAACACAGUGUGUGGCCUCAUCCACUCGGGCGACGAGCAAUGGAGGACACCAGCAUGCACACACCUGCAGAAGGCGUGCUCCCCGAGACCUUUGAGGGCCGACGCGUUCACCGUGCCGAGGUGGAGCUCGUCGAAGAGCAGUGUCUCCCGGUGAAGUUAUCGGGACACGAGCAGUGAAAAGAUCCCGUUUGCGGGAUCGCUGUGCAGACGCCUCCGUUCUGACAG